CAGAGGUCUCAAGCGUUGUUCGGAUUCAUUGGGCGUAAAGGGUGCGUAGGUGGCGCCAUAAGUCAGGUGUGAAAUCUCGGGGCUCAACCCCGAAACUGCACUUGAUACUGUGGUGCUGGAGUACUGGAGAGGAGAUUGGAAUUUACGGUGUAGCAGUGAAAUGCGUAGAUAUCGUAAGGAAGACCAGUGGCGAAGGCGAAUCUCUGGACAGUUACUGACACUGAGGCACGAAGGCCAGGGGAGCAAACGGGAUUAGAUACCCCGGUAGUCCUGGCAGUAAACGGUGCGCGUUUGGUGUGGGAGGAUUCGACCCCUUCUGUGCCGGAGCUAACGCGUUAAACGCGCCGCCUGGGGAGUACGGUCGCAAGAUUA
rnacentral:rRNA from 1 species